rnacentral:rRNA from 3 species
UCUGGUAAUGAUGGCAGAGAGGUCACACCCGUUCCCAUACCGAACACGGAAGUUAAGCUCUCUAGCGCCGAUGGUAGUUGGGACCUUGUCCCUGUGAGAGUAGGACGUUGCCAGAC